GACGAACGCUGGCGGCGUGCUUAACACAUGCAAGUCGAACGGAAAGGCCCUGCUUUUGUGGGGUGCUCGAGUGGCGAACGGGUGAGUAACACGUGAGUAACCUGCCCUUGACUUUGGGAUAACUUCAGGAAACUGGGGCUAAUACCGGAUAGGAGCUCCUGCUGCAUGGUGGGGGUUGGAAAGUUUCGGCGGUUGGGGAUGGACUCGCGGCUUAUCAGCUUGUUGGUGGGGUAGUGGCUUACCAAGGCUUUGGCGGGUAGCCGGCCUGAGAGGGUGACCGGCCACAUUGGGACUGAGAUACGGCCCAGACUCCUACGGGAGGCAGAAGUGGGGAAUAUUGCACAAUGGGCGGAAGCCUGAUGCAGCAACGCCGCGUGCGGGAUGACGGCCUUCGGGUUGUAAACCGCUUUCGCCUGUGACGAAGCGUGAGUGACGGUAAUGGGUAAAGAAGCACCGGCUAACUACGUG
rnacentral:rRNA from 1 species